UUUAGUCUACUGCCGUUCUGGUGAUUCAAUAGUCAUUAUAGUUCAUUACUCAGAUCACAACAACUCUUUUGUGAUCUAAAUUUAGUUAACAGCUGCCAAAUCAGCGUAUUUUUACUGAAUUACUGUAACUCGAUCGCCGUAGAGAACCAUGUCCACGGAGGAUCAGCAGUCUCAAGAUAUUACGAUCAGCGCAUCACCCCUAGCAACAACCACGGCUACCGCAGUGACGCAACAACCGGAAGCUAAUGAAAUCGGACAACCGAUCGACACUUCAGCAAAGGAGAUAUUUUGCGAACACUGUUGCGAAGUCACAGUUCAUCUCCUCAUAUGUAUCAGCGGCUGUUUAGGUGCAUUCCAGAAUGAUUGACGACGCCAAGCCCAAAUCGCUGAUUUUGAAAGUGUUUAAAAAUGUCCAGUAAUUUAAAAACCCUAAUACAAGUCUCGUUAAUUCGUCCAUA